rnacentral:rRNA from 1 species
AUAGUACCGGGUAGUCCACGCCGUAAACGGUGGGCACUAGGUGUGGGACCCUUCCACGGGUUCCGUGCCGUAGCUAACGCAUUAAGUGCCCCGCCUGGGGAGUACGGCCGCAAGGCUAAAACUCAAAGGAAUUGACGGGGGCCCGCACAAGCGGCGGAGCAUGCGGAUUAAUUCGAUGCAACGCGAAGAACCUUACCUGGGUUUGACAUAUACCGGAAACAUCUGGAGACAGGUGCCCCGCAAGGUCGGUAUACAGGUGGUGCACGGCUGUCGUCAGCUCGUGUCGUGAGAUGUUGGGUUAAGUCCCGCAACGAGCGCAACCCUCGUUCUAUGUUGCCAGCGGUUCGGCCGGGAACUCAUAGAAGACUGCCGGGGUCAACUCGGAGGAAGGUGGGGAUGACGUCAAGUCAUCAUGCCCCUUAUGUCCAGGGCUUCACGCAUGCUACAAUGACUGGUACAAAGGGCUGCGAUAUCGCAAGAUGGAGCGAAUCCCAUAAAGCCAGUCUCAGUUCGGAUUGGGGUCUGCAACUCGACCCA